ACGGAGGAUGCGAGCGUUAUCCGGAUUCACUGGGUUUAAAGGGUGAGUAGGCGGGUUAGUAAGUCAGUGGUGAAAGUCUGUCGCUUAACGAUAGGAUUGCCAUUGAUACUGCUAGUCUUGAGUUCAGUUGAGGCAGGCGGAAUGUGCAGUGUAGCGGUGAAAUGCUUAGAUAUUGCACAGAACACCGAUUGCGAAGGCAGCUUGCUAAACUGAUACUGACGCUGAGUCACGAAAGCGUGGGGAUCAAACAGGAUUAGAUACCCUGGUAGUCCACGCCGUAAACUAUGAUCACUCGUUGUUGGCGAUACACAGCCAGCGGCUAAGCGAAAGCAUUAAGUGAUCCACCUGGGGAGUACGAUGGCAACAUUG
rnacentral:rRNA from 1 species